GCAACAAAAAAUAAUAAAUGCAUUAAUUUUAACUCAGCGAUCUGCAGCUAACGUCUGUUUUGGAAAUCGAAAUAUUAAAAUAUUUUCAGUAGAUCAAAAUAUCAAAAUAUUUUAUGAUCAAAAUAUUUCUUUGCGUUAUCUCACUAUUUCCACAGGUCUGGCCUUAAAUCUUUCCAAGCAGCCGCAAUACCGCAUGCUGUCCAGCAGAGGUCGUCCAGUGUCUCAAAACUACAAAUCUUUUUCAGCACGGUUGCUUCAAAAAGGAUUCACUGCCUGGACAAAGACUCCUCUUCCUGUCUGAGGGAUGUAACCACCACAUAUGAUCUUAGUCUCGCCUGCUGGAACAAGUAUAGCGGAGGGGGCAUUCAAAUGAGACUUUUCAUUACGUCAUAAAAAGCCUGAAGUGCAAAGAAGAAUCAGAAUCCAGCUUUCGGGGACAUCCUCACAGUGAACAGGUGUAGUUCAAACAC